rnacentral:SRP_RNA from 16 species
CAUCGAUGCGGUCGGAAGUGGCCAUUCAAGAGGAAAAUUGGUGAUGAAAAUAUCGAGCUAGGCUGGAAAGGGAGCACGGAGAACC